CGAGGUUACUAAACACCCUUCUCUUUGCUUUGUUUUAUUCUCUAGGUACCUUAUUUUGGACCAUCGACAUUUCUGAAUUCUCUCCUCAGCUGUGCAGGUAGAUGUGUAUGGAGGAACGCCCAUUGGCCGGUACGAGAACAAUGGAAUGUUGGCUGUUGAGCCUGAGGAGGGAAGGGUCGACCUGUUCAUACUAGCACCCGAGACCUAGCCUUCUUGCAUCAUGCUCGACCAUGUCAUCCUGCUUGCAUGCGUUGUCCUCCUCCGUCCCCUCGCAAGGUGUGUAGUGGUAGGCUCGGUCUCCGGCCUUGGAGUCUUCUGUUGGCCCCAUUGUCAUGCGGCGGAGGCGGUGCUGUUUGGCAUCAGCUACAAAACAGCCAUGAAAGUGAUGCACUUGGGGAGACAUCUUCUCCUAGAAAGAGUGGAAUUAUCUUUUUCUUAGUGCAAGAUGAACUGUUUAUGAUCAAGACUCUUUGGGUAUCAGAAGUGUAGGUUUUUGUUGUUCUACUCAAUGAUUGUAUGAUAAUAAACAAACCAUGCAUGCUAGUUGACGGUAUAUGUUGGUAACUUGAUAUGGUUUGGUAUGGUCUUGGUCUAUUCAUUUUUCUCUAAGAAACUGAGAUGUAUACCUUCAAUGAUCCAGAGCUUUUAGCUUAUCUGACUUUUAUGAUGUUCUAUUAGAUAGUAGAUUAUGUAAUUUCCAUUUCUGGAAGUGAUGCA